rnacentral:rRNA from 1 species
GCCAGCAGUCAUAUCACCCUGUAACUCACAACCCACUAAAGCUAAGCAGGUGUAAGCCUGGUCAGUACCUGGAUGAGUGACCUCCUGGGGAAAACUAAGGUUGCUGCUGGAA